GUUGUCUGGUUACAUAGUGAGGUAAAGGUUGUUUAUGUUGUCUGGUUACAUAGUGAGGUAGAGGUUGUUUAUGUUGUCUGGUUACAUAGUGAGGUAGAGGUUGUUUAUGUUGUCUGGUUACAUAGUGAGGUAGAGGUUGUUUAUGUUGUCUGGUUACUGGUUACAUAGUGAGGUAGAGGUUGUUUAUGUUGCCUGGUUACUGGUUAUAGAGUGAGGUAGAGGUUGUUUAUGUUGUCUGGUUACAUAGUGAGGUAGAGGUUGUUUAUGUUGUCUGGUUACAUAGUGAGGUAAAGGUUGUUUAUGUUGUCUGGUUACAUGGUGAGGUAGAGGUUGUUUAUGUUGUCUGGUUACAGAGUGAGGUAGAGGUUGUUUAUGUUGUCUGGUUACAUAGUGAGGUAGAGGUUGUUUAUGUUGUCUGGUUACUGGUUACAUAGUGAGGUAGAGGUUGUUUAUGUUGCCUGGUUACUGGUUACAUAGUGAGGUAGAGGUUGUUUAUGUUGUCUGGUUACUGGUUACAUAGUGAGGUAGAGGUUGUUUAUGUUGCCUGGUUACAUAGUGAGGUAGAGGUUGUUUAUGUUGUCUGGUUACUGGUUACAUAGUGAGGUAGAGGUUGUUUAUGUUGUCUGGUUACUGGUUACAUAGUGAGGUAGAGGUUGUUUAUGUUGUCUGGUUACAUAGUGAGGUAGAGGUUGUUUAUGUUGUCUGGUUACUGGUUACAUAGUGAGGUAGAGGUUGUUUAUGUUGUCUGGUUACAUAGUGAGGUAGAGGUUGUUUAUGUUGUCUGGUUACUGGUUACAUAGUGAGGUAGAGGUUGUUUAUGUUGCCUGGUUACAUAGUGAGGUAGAGGUUGUUUAUGUUGUCUGGUUACUGGUUACAUAGUGAGGUAGAGGUUGUUUAUGUUGUCUGGUUACAUAGUGAGGUAAAGGUUGUUUAUGUUGUCUGGUUACAUAGUGAGGUAGAGGUUGUUUAUGUUGUCUGGUUACAUAGUGAGGUAGAGGUUGUUUAUGUUGUCUGGUUACUGGUUACAUAGUGAGGUAGAGGUUGUUUAUGUUGUCUGGUUACAUAGUGAGGUAGAGGUUGUUUAUGUUGUCUGGUUACUGGUUACAUAGUGAGGUAGAGGUUGUUUAUGUUGUCUGGUUACAUAGUGAGGUAGAGGUUGUUUAUGUUGUCUUGUUACUGGUUACAUAGUGAGGUAGAGGUUGUUUAUGUUGUCUGGUUACAUAGUGAGGUAGAGGUUGUUUAUGUUGUCUGGUUACUGGUUACAUAGUGAGGUAGAGGUUGUUUAUGUUGUCUGGUUACAUAGUGAGGUAGAGGUUGUUUAUGUUGUCUGGUUACUGGUUACAUAGUGAGGUAGAGGUUGUUUAUGUUGUCUGGUUACUGGUUACAUAGUGAGGUAGAGGUUGUUUAUGUUGCCUGGUUACAUAGUGAGGUAGAGGUUGUUUCCUGGAUUCUUGGAUGCAGAGAAAUAUGGAUUGGUGACAUUUUUUAUUAUUUGUGUGUUUGUGUGUGUGUGUGUGUGUGUGUGUGUGUGUGUGUGUGUGUGUGUUUG